rnacentral:lncRNA from 1 species
AGUCGUCUUGAAAUGUGCGUAGGUUGCGGACGUGAUUUCUCUCCGCUCUCACAUUCCCCACUUUUCUGGCAGCCGGCACCGUCGGGUGGCCGACUUGGCCCCCCAUGCUCCUUGCUAGGACUUCCGACUAGACUAUUCCGGCUGUUUAUAUUGAAAAUGAACAGAUGGGCAGGACUAACACGCACCCCUCGACUCUCUCAUCUAUCGUCGAAUAAAUUGCAUCAAAGUAUACGGCCGGCCCGGCUCUUUCUCUUCUUCUUUGCAGAGGGAAAAAUCAGUGGAGGAUCGAUUCGAGUUUCUCUAGAGACUCAACAUAUAUUAUAAAACAUUUAAAAUGGAAUUUUUUUUAAAUUCCCCGGGCUCCUGAGUGACUGUUGUUUUGUGUGACGAGUUUCGGGUCUAAAAGUUUACAAAUGUUCCGAAAUGUUCUGUGGGUUCAAUGCAAAUUUUUAUUCUUAGUGUUAUCUCGAGAGUGGUUUUUCGUUACGAACUGGUUAUUGGUUAAUGCUAAAUUAAUCGGAUUUGAGGCCUGAGCGGGCUGAGCCAGUCAUCAUAACCACAAGAUCUACACCAGUUUGGCUCUGGCUGGUGUUGACCUGCCAUCACCAACAAUCUCAGCAUCAUCACUUGGGGCAUUACAUGUACGCCUAAAAAUAAUCUCCUGUUUAUUAGCAAUUGGGGUAUUACUUACUCAUUCAAAAAUGAGAAAAAAUCCCUGAUUUCCUGGUUUCCUUUCUUAAUUGGGCGGGAAUUGAAUUACGUUAGACAGUCGAAACGAUUCAUUAGGAAAA